UGAGACGUGCUUGCUUUGCCUUCGCCUUCCACCGUGAUUGUAAGUUUCCUGAGGCCUCCUAGCCGUGCUUCCUGUACAGCCUGCGGAACUGUGUCUCAUGAAAAUGACUAUAAAACUUCUUGUCAAAUUGGAGUACUUUGGAAUAUUUAGGAAAAAUUGGCAGAGAGGAGACAGGACUAAAGUGCAGCUCCCACUUGGAUGAACUGAACAGUGUGUGGAGACUCACAUUGUGAAUUUUUGCUCCAAGAACUACCUCAGGAACAUACCAGAAAAACCAAAAGAAUUCACAGACCCUUUGAAAAAAGUGGCUUGCCAGUGCAAUCUCCAUGAGACAGCUGAAAAACUGUGCUCUCUGUACACAGAGGGUUUUGUCUGUUUGGUCACCGAUGUAUCUUCAGUGCCCAGAACAGUGCGUGGCAAUGGCAGACUCUCAACUGAUGGUUUAAAGAGGUUGUCUUUUCCGAGGUCCAUCACCAGCUUCACAG